CUUAACACAUGCAAGUCGAACGGUAACAGGAAGCAGCUUGCUGCUUUGCUGACGAGUGGCGGACGGGUGAGUAAUGUCUGGGAAACUGCCUGAUGGAGGGGGAUAACUACUGGAAACGGUAGCUAAUACCGCAUAACGUCGCAAGACCAAAGAGGGGGACCUUCGGGCCUCUUGCCAUCGGAUGUGCCCAGAUGGGAUUAGCUAGUAGGUGGGGUAACGGCUCACCUAGGCGACGAUCCCUAGCUGGUCUGAGAGGAUGACCAGCCACACUGGAACUGAGACACGGUCCAGACUCCUACGGGAGGCAGCAGUGGGGAAUAUUGCACAAUGGGCGCAAGCCUGAUGCAGCCAUGCCGCGUGUAUGAAGAAGGCCUUCGGGUUGUAAAGUACUUUCAGCGGGGAGGAAGGCGAUAAGGUUAAUAACCUUGUCGAUUGACGUUACCCGCAGAAGAAGCACCGGCUAACUCCGUGCCAGCAGCCGCGGUAAUACGGAGGGUGCAAGCGUUAAUCGGAAUUACUGGGCGUAAAGCGCACGCAGGCGGUCUGUCAAGUCGGAUGUGAAAUCCCCGGGCUCAACCUGGGAACUGCAUUCGAAACUGGCAGGCUAGAGUCUUGUAGAGGGGGGUAGAAUUCCAGGUGUAGCGGUGAAAUGCGUAGAGAUCUGGAGGAAUACCGGUGGCGAAGGCGGCCCCCUGGACAAAGACUGACGCUCAGGUGCGAAA
rnacentral:rRNA from 1 species